AUAAGAAUUAAAAAGAAACUAUAACUAUAAAAUUCAUAUAUUCAUUAUUCAUUCACUAUAAAUUUCAUUGCAGAUCUCCAAUGCUCCAAUUUGCCAAAUAAACCUGCUCGCCAAUAGAGAAAGGCGAGUACAACGGGACUCGUAUCUUCGUCCAUCAACGACACGGAAGACAAAGGAGAAAACAAGGUUCUCGACGGAGGCACAAUAUUCGCGUAGGUGAAAGGGGCCGGGAGCGUGGCGGCGCGUGUCCCACGUUCCCUCGAAUAAUAUGUAAACGCGCGUGGCACAGCCGCACCGACGCCGGCCACGCCGAAGACGGAGAAGGAAAGAAGAGGGAACACGGCGGGGCCAAGUAUUUGUCAGCAUUGCGAAACGUCAUAAUGGAGGCUCGAUGCUAAUAACGGAUUUUCGAAAGGGCAAUGCGCCCGGUGUAGGCGCGUGUCUCACCCCGGCGAGUGCAUAUACAGGAAAAUCAAGCACGCAUCACGUAUCCACGCGAGAGAAAGAUAUAUAUAUUAUAUAUGUACGAGAGUAAGCGAGAAAAGGAAGGCAAGGAUAGAUUAUAUAUAUAUAUAUACGCGAAUCGUGUCGCUUCAACCCCCCUGUUCGCAGCAGGAAGCCGUCGAAUCCUCGCGCUGUUGCACGCCCACGCAAACACGACUCUGCCACGGGGAGACAGGAGAGAGAGAAAAAUUGAAGGCACAUGAUAUAAUGACGACGCUGACAAAAGAACAAAACGGUUACGGGAGCUCACCUCUCCCUCCCCCCUCUUUUCUAACUACUCGCCCGGCCCUCCCCCCCCGUCUUUGACUCCCGUUGAAUAUUUAUAACUCGGUUUCGAAUCGCGAGAUCAUGCUUUUUACGGUAGUCAAGGGGGAGCACGAAAUAAGAGCGAGAGUAUUGAAAAAAGAUGGGAAGAGAAGAGGAGGAGAGGGGAGGAGGGACCAACGGCCCGUUUUGUUUGAUGUAUCGUGACGAGUGGAAAUCAAUUUUAAUUGAAUUGAUUAUAAGCUACCCACGGGAGGAGCGGUACACUGUCGCCGACAGUGAAACACGGUGACUGUGUACCGUACCCCAUAGGUCGGACGGUUGGCAAGUACCAUCUGAGCGUUUCACAACUUGGCAGACUCGCGAAACGUUCCGAUAAUGAACUUCGAGGAUUUCGUAUUCAUGUAUUCCAUGUGCGAGCGUCACUCGUUGUCUGCUAUGAAUGCAUUUAACCAAGGGACCAUCGAUCCACUUGUUCCGGUUAUAGAGAUUUGUUUCGAAACUGUCUAUGAUUAAAUCAAAUGGUAUCAUGAAAUUGAAAAGGAAAGAGAAUAUCUUUGUAUUCGAAUUUGGCAAUGCUCUUCGAAGAUCAUAUAUCAAGAUACGUCCAUCGAUCCACUUGUUAGGGUUAUAGAGAUUGUUUCGAAACUGUCUAUGAUUAAAUCGUUCAAAUGGUAUCAACGAUGAAAUUGAAAAGGAAAGAGAAUAUCUUUGUAUUUGAAUUUGGCAAUGCUCUUCGAAGAUCAUAUAUAUCAUAUCAAGAUACGUCCAUCGAUCCACUUGUUAGAGUUAUAAAGAUUGUUUCGAAACUGUCUAUGAUUAAAUCGUUCAAAUGGUAUCAACGAUGAAAUUGAAAAGGAAAGAGAAUAUCUUUGUAUUCGAAUUUGGCUCUUGUUCUUUGAAGAUUAUAUAUCAAGAUACGUCCAUUGAUCCACUUGUUAGGGUUAUAGAGAUUGCUUCGAAACUGUUAAAGCGCUUCUUUCCAUCAGUUCUCUGUAAAUCUUUGUAAUCUGAAAUAUUGAUUUUUACGUUGCAGGUAUCAACGAUGAAAUUGAAAAGGAAAGAGAAUAUCUUUGUAUUCGAAUUUGGCAAUGCUCUUCGAAGAUCGUAUAUACAUAUCAAGAUACGUCCAUCGAUCCACUUGUUAGAGUUAUAGAGAUUGUUUCAAAACUGUCUAUGAUUAAAUCGUUCAAAUGGUAUCAACGAUGAAAUUGAAAAGGAAAGAGAAUAUCUUUGUAUUCGAAUUUGGCUCUUGUUCUUUGAAGAUAAUAUAUCAAGAUACGUCCAUUUCAAAGAUGCAUCUCGUCUCAAAGAAAUUAUUAAAUCCGAAGAACCGAAGGUUGUAAGGGAGUUUCCCCCUUUCUCCCCGGGAACGUGGUUCGAUGGAUGGAUGGCCCCCACGGUAAUCCUCACCCUCGCCGAAAAAAAAAGAGCCAAGGGGAGGAGGAGGAGGGUUUAACAGUUUACACGUCGGAUCAUCCCUCGUUAUUGUUGCGUUUAUGAUAAUAGCGGCACGAACGCAGGCCCGGCUGACCGGUUCAACCCCAUCCAGAGGGUCGCAAUCGUUACCCAUGCUCAGGUAUUUAAUUAGACGGCUUUAUGCUGAAUUUCACAACGAGAUAUUAAUUUCUUUACUUCUUCAUAUUCUUCUUCCUUUCUCCGAGCAAGUGUAAAAUCACAGGGGAGAGGGCUGUAUUCUUCAAAGAUUGAUUCUCGAUUUUUUAGAGAUUGAAUGAAAUAAAUAGUAAUUGAUAAGCCGUUGAAAGUAUAGAAAGCUGUAUGGAUCCUAUCUUGAAAUUACCGAGCGGUGCAAUCUCGAUCUCUACAAUGUUUCAUCACGGAUACCGUUCUCCACGCCGGAAAUAAAAAGAGAAUCUAUGUAUGGCUGGUGAUUUAAUUGGAAAGUCGCGGUCGCCCAGAAAAAAAAUGAUUUUUCGAUGUUAAAAUGGCGGACAAUUAAUUACAAAAUGAAAGCUCCGCCUGCCUCGUCGCGAACCCCGCGAAAUUGUAUUGGAAAGCAGACGAGAAGCGGCGGGGGUGAGGGAAGAGGGGGGGAAGGGGGAGGGAAAGAGAGGGAGAUAUGUUCAUACGUAGAUAGUAUAUGCGCUGUGUUGCCUAUCCGCCAUGGGUAUUGGAUUGGAUUGGAUCGCCGCGUCAGCAAUACAAACACUCGAAGUCUCGAUGUGGGUCGGCCUCUCCCGUUCCUGUUUCAAACUGAAAUUACACUUUCCCGACCGACCCCGUCGUACCCCGAAGCCCCCCCUCCUUCUAUCUAGCUCCAUUUUCCCUUCACGUUGUAGUUUUUCUCUCGUCAUCAACAGCGUCCAAGAUUUUACCAAACUUCUUCGUCUAACUCCAACUAAACGUUAACGGUAACAAGAAGAUAUCAGAAAUCUUUGAGACACGGAGUUGAGAUGAAAUGAUAAGACAAUAGGAUUUUGGAAUCGCAAUUCAAAAGUCAAAAGAUUUAGGAUAAAUCUUGUGUGAGGAAAAUUAAUAUGGAUUUAAUUGGCGAAUGAAAUGUUGAAUAAAUGGUGCUGGAAUUGUAAGGUGGAGAGAUAAUUUUUAUGAAGAGAGGAGAGGCAGAAGCGACCGGUUAGCCAAAGGUUUCCGUCCAAAGGAUUAGAAAUUAAAGGCGAGUCGGUGAAUUCGAGAUAUAAAUUUUCUCUCCAGCGGUUGAGAGUGAAAAAGAGUUGUGCGACCGCGGCACGGGAAUCGAAACCCUUUAGCCUCCGCUUUCCUCGAGAGGCGAGACCAACCGACUAACUCGAAUGAAAAGGCACCAGUGCUGGUAAGAGACACUUCGUACACGCUCCUGCUGGCGUGUAUCCGAGCACAAAAAAAAGAAGAGAAGGAAAAGGAAAUAGAGAAAGAGAGAAAAGAGACGAAGAGGAAGGAGAAGACGCUUAUUUAGCUUACCUUUUACUUACACGUGCUAUACAAUGUUUACCUACACCCACCUAAGCAUAUAAGACUGGAGGGACUGCUUGAGAGGAAUAAUGUUUGCGUAAGAAGAACGGAUAGCGAUUUCGAUAUUUAAAAAAAAAAAGGGAAAACGUCAAGGUUGCCGUAUUGGUGACUUUCAAAUCAGGAUAAGAUCCGAAUGUUUAAGAAUAGAAUCAAGCUUACUGUUUGCGAGUUGAAGAAAAUUUUUCAUUUUUCUUCUUUUCCAACUUUCUAAAACCUCGAUAUCAAAGCGAAAAAGACUCUACGAUUUCGGUGAUACCAUAUCACUUGUUUCAAAAACAUCUCACAAGGAGAGAAGAGUGCUGGGGAGAAAUACAAAGAAAAAGGAAAAAAAAAAAGGAGAAGAAGAAGAAAGAUGGACAUACAUUCUAUCCAAAUGUGGCGCAACUACCUGACGACAAGAACAAUGAAAGAGCAAAGAGCGUGCGUUCCCCAUCGUGGCUGGUAGCCGUGUACAAGAUGGCGCCAGGCAGGCCGGAGGCCGGAGUACCACUCGGGCGAUUUCCGGUGGCUUUGUUCCACGUACCACUCGUACACGGGGUGUAUUCGAUGAAACUCGAGGCUUAAAGGCGCGUUUUUCAGCCACGCUACCAGCUUACGUGCGUGCGCGCGAGAUAUAAAGAGGUUUUUCUUCUAUGAAGCCAGUUAGCCAACGAACCGGUAAUUCCUCCGACCGCCUUCUUCCUUCUCUCCACGCGGGCUCCUCUCGCUUUCUCCCUCUUUAUUUCUCUCUGUAUGCGCCCUCCUCUCCGUAGCCCCCUUCAACUUCCUCUUUUCGCACGCUCCCGACUUCAACUUCUUCCCCUUCUUCUUCUUCUCCUCCUCCGCCUCUUCCUUCUUCUUCCUCGUCUUUCUCCCUACCUCUCUUCCGUUCUUUCGCCGUGCUUCUUCCCUUUCUUUUCCCGCCCUUUGCUGUUUGCCCGCAUUCAUUCUCGCCUUUGCCAGACCCGUGGAAAAGAAGAAACGAGCCGGGUGCAACUCAAGAUUUCCCCUACUCCCUGGACCGCCACCCUCUUCCUCUUUCUCUCUUAGCGUUUUCCUGUUCCUCUUUUUAGUCGCCGGUAAUGGAGGCCCUCGAACGCCGGCCCUUCUAGCGCCUCGACGAGCCUGCCUCGGCGAAACGAAACGAAACGAAACGAAACGAGACGAGAGACGAGACACGUUUACCCCCACCCUCGACGAAUGACUUUUACUUUCUUCCUCCAUUCGUAGUCGAGCUCCGUUUUCCUGUUUCUGUCGGCCACGGUGAUUCGUUCGAGAGGAAAAUACCAACUUCUCUCUCUUUCGUCGGAAAAACCAGCGUUGCUGUGUGGUUCACAUAUCGCUUCAAAGAUUUGUCAAUUUUUAUUUUUUUUUACAUGGCUUGAUAUUAAUUAUAAAAUAUAUAUUUUUAUAUGAUAAUUUUAUGAUGCGUUAAUCAUAUUUGUACGAAAUAAUUGUAGAAUUAUUAAAAUUCAUAUUGACAAAAUCUACAUCACGAUUCUGAAUAUUGUAUAGGAUAUUCAUCGAUGAUUAUCGGAAUCCGCAACGCCGUUUUGGACAUUUGCCAAUGCGUUCGUGGCCUUUCGAUUGUAUCGAAAUCCACAUUGAGAUUUUACCCGAUUUAUACCGCGGCCGUCAAUUCGUAAUUAUUACUGAAAUUUUCGACUGGAUUUGAAAUAUUUUGCGGUUUUGUAAUUAUCAUUCGAACGUUGAAUUUUCAGUAUUAUUUGAAAUUUAUUCAAUAUCGUAACGUUAAAAAACGAAAGAUUCUAGAUAUUUUAUGGUAGACAU
rnacentral:lncRNA from 1 species